ACUCCUACGGGAGGCAGCAGUGGGGAAUUUUGCGCAAUGGGGGAAACCCUGACGCAGCAACGCCGCGUGAGUGAUGAAGGCCUUCGGGUCGUAAAGCUCUGUCAGAAGGGAAGAAAUGUGGGUGGCUAAUAUCCAUUCCACUUGACGGUACCUUCAAAGGAAGCACCGGCUAACUCCGUGCCAGCAGCCGCGGUAAUACGGGGGGUGCAAGCGUUGUUCGGAAUUAUUGGGCGUAAAGCGCGUGUAGGCGGUUUCUUAAGUCUGAUGUGAAAGCCCCGGGCUCAACCUGGGAAGUGCAUUGGAUACUGGGAGACUUGAGUACGGGAGAGGGUAGUGGAAUUCCCAGUGUAGGAGUGAAAUCCGUAGAUAUUGGGAGGAACACCGGUGGCGAAGGCGGCUGCCUGGACCGAUACUGACGCUGAGACGCGAAAGCGUGGGUAGCAAACAGGAUUAGAUACCCUGGUAGUCCACGCCGUAAACGAUGAGAACUAGGUGUCGCGGGUA
rnacentral:rRNA from 1 species